AUGCUGCACAAUGUAUGUAUAAUCAAAUCAAAUACUAUAAUCAAGGGGCCAAUCUCAGUCGCUCGUACUUAUGAACGAAAGAACCAACCCAAGCACUUCCCCCUCGCAUCGCAGACGCUCGCAGCAAUGGAGAGGAAGAUGAGCUCCUCCGGCCGCCACCUCCUCCUCCUCUUCUCAUUGGCGCCCGCCCUCCUCCUCUACCACUUCGCCCUCCGCUCCAUCCAGCCAUUCCUCCGCCUCCCCUUAGCCGCCGACGAUGUGCCGCCCCCGCGAUCGGCGGUGGCUUCGGCCACACGAGUUGCUGGAGACGGAGCUAAUGAUUCGAUGUUGGUGCAAGGUGGAGCGCCAUUAAUGGAGAAAGUGGAAGCGGAGAGAACCCGCUGGCCUGCCAAUUUCUCCAUGCAAGAAGCAGCAAUGGGGGACGCCGCAAGAGGAGCCGUGCAGCCGCCGUGCAACGUCAACGACGGGAGGCGGGUGUGCGACGAGAGCUACCCGCUCUACGACGGCAGUUCCUGCCCGUUCGUCGAGGACGGGUUCAGCCCUAGGCCGCCGACGCCCGACGUUCCUACUGGUACUGCCGGUGCCGCCGCCUCCCUCCUGAUUGGUGAUUUCCUUCUUAAUUCGCCCCUAAUUUCAGUUCCUAGGGCCUCCAUCUGUAAUUCCGUAUAG
rnacentral:rRNA from 1 species